CGAACUCCUGACCACGUGAUCCACCCACCUUGGCCUCCCAAAGUUCUGGGAUUAUAGACAUGAGCCACCGCGCCCUGCCAGGGAAUUGAUUUUUAUCUGCCAUUGCCCUCUCUCAGUAGGACAGUUCCUUUCUCUUCACCUCUUCUGUCAGCUAAAGACCAUGAGAGGGAGAAAGCUAGAAGCUGAAGAUUCUGAAAAUCACUAACUGGCCUCUUCUUUCUCCUAGGUGUGGCACAUUGGUUGACCUUUGCCAGGGCCCCCACCUUCGGCAUACUGGACAGAUUGGAGGACUGAAGCUGCUAUCGAACUCAUCAUCCUUAUGGAGGUCUUCAGGGGCCCCAGAGACACUGCAGAGAGUGUCAGGGAUUUCCUUCCCCACAACAGAAUUGCUGAGGGUCUGGGAAGCAUGGAGGGAGGAAGCAGAAUUGCGGGACCACCGGCGCAUUGGGAAGGAACAGGAGCUCUUCUUCUUCCAUGAACUGAGCCCUGGGAGCUGCUUCUUCCUGCCACGAGGGACAAGGGUGUAUAAUGCACUAGUGGCGUUUAUCAGGGCUGAGUAUGCCCAUCGUGGUUUCUCCGAGGUGAAAACUCCCACACUGUUUUCUACGA
rnacentral:lncRNA from 10 species